rnacentral:rRNA from 1 species
AUUGAACGCUGGCGGCAGGCCUAACACAUGCAAGUCGAGCGGAUGAAGUGAGCUUGCUCCUGGAUUCAGCGGCGGACGGGUGAGUAAUGCCUAGGAAUCUGCCUGGUAGUGGGGGAUAACGUCCGGAAACGGGCGCUAAUACCGCAUACGUCCUGAGGGAGAAAGUGGGGGAUCUUCGGACCUCACUCUAUCAGAUGAGCCUAGGUCGGAUUAGCUAGUUGGUGGGGUAAAGGCCUACCAAGGCGACGAUCCGUAACUGGUCUGAGAGGAUGAUCAGUCACACUGGAACUGAGACACGGUCAAGACUCCUACGGGAGGCAGCAGUGGGGAAUAUUGGACAAUGGGCGAAAGCCUGAUCCAGACAUGCCGCGUGUGUGAAGAAGGUCUUCGGAUUGUAAAGCACUUUAAGUUGGGAGGAAGGGCAGUAAGUUAAUACCUUGCUGUUUUGACGUUACCAACAGAAUAAGCACCGGCUAACUUCGUG